GACGAACGCUGGCGGCGGGCUUAACACAUGCAAGUCGAACGGAAAGGCCCUGCUUUUGUGGGGUUCUCGAGUGGCGAACGGGGGAGUAACACGUGUGUAACCUGCCCUUCACUUUGGGAUAACUUCAGGUAACUGGGGCUAAUACCGGAUAGGAGCUCCUGCUGCAUGGAGGGGGUUGGAUAGUUUCGGCCGUUGGGGCUGGAUUGGCGGCUUAUCAGCUUGUUGGUGGGGUAGUGGCUUACCAAGGCUUGGACGGGUAGCCGGCAUGGGAGGGUGGCCGGCGUCCAGGCGACUGAGGGACGGCCCAGACGGGUACGGGAGACAGCAGUGGGGAAUAUUGCACAGUGGGAGCACGCGUGAUGAAGAGGCGUCGGGUGCGGGAUGACGGCCUUUGGGUUGUAAAACGCUUUCGGCUGUGACGAAGCGUGAGUGACGGUAAUGAGUAAAGAAGCACCGGCUAACUACGUG
rnacentral:rRNA from 1 species